rnacentral:lncRNA from 1 species
GCUAUUUCCUUGUGCCUAUGUAAUGGGAUUUGGAUAUCUAAUUAAUCUUCCUCAAGUACAAGUUGGAAACCAGGAAGAAGCACGGUUUUCAUUCUUAAAGGGUGGAUAUGUUCAAGAUUUUGAAAAUCAAGCUACUUUAUAUUUCUAGCUUCUAUGUUUGCAACUAAGCCUACAUUUGUUGUACAUUUCCUUCUUCAUUCCUGCGUCUCAAAGUUGUGUUUUCCAUGCUAUCUUAAAGUAACAUUGUACCGAGACAUCAUUAUUUGGGUAAAACCUAAAUACCCAGAAUAUUACUCGGAAAAUUGUUAUUAAUAACGCUGACACUUUCCAUUGGAUUUAUUGUUCGAUAUGCGGUGAAAAGUGUUGUCGUAAUAGCAUCGUAGUUUAGUGAAAUUUGAACAAACCAUUGUUUUUUUGAAAUUGCAAAUGACCAUACUAACCUGAAUUUGAAUUAAUGACAAUUUAAUUUAUGACAGUUUGUUCUUGCUCCAGUCACACUUGGUCUUCUUCUCAAUACAUAUGCAAAGGCAAUUGUAUUUAUUCUUUGCUAAAGGGAUUGUGAACUGCACUGCUGCUGGUACUGGAGGGAUUGUCAAUUACAUUGUUGUUUCAAGAUUCAGAUUUGUUGACACAAUUUAUCAAGUGAAAAUGUUGUUGAUGAGGUUUCUCUGAACGAUGAUUUUUGUUAGCAUGAUUUUGAUUAGCUGUUGCAGUAGCCGUUGUAGUUGUGUUGAAAUUGAUGAUAUAAGAUCGAUGAGACUAAUGUGACUUUGAUUGAGUUGCAUUGCAGUUUCAAUGACAUAAAAAACAAUUAUUAGUUAUGUCUUAGCUUAAAUUAUAGUUGUGUCUCAAAAAUUGAAAUCGAUGAUAUAAGGUUGAUGAGACUUUAGUUGCAGCCAAUGCGACUUCAAUUGAAGUUGCAUUGCAGUUUUGAUUAGAGUUCAAUUGUAGACAAUGUGACGUCAAGUGUAGUCCAUUGCAAUUUUGCUAUGAAUUCAAUUGCAGAUAAUGCGACUUCGAUUGUAGUUGCAUUGCAGUUUCGAUGAGACGUCAAUUGCCAACAAUGCGACUUCAAUCGUAGACAAUUGUGAGUUCGAUUUUAAUUCAUUGCAGUUUCGACGAGACUUCAAUUACAGACAACGCGACUUCAAUUGUAGCAUUGAACAUUUGGUGAGAUUUCAAUCACAGACAACAUGACUUCAAUUGUAGUUCAUUACAGUUUCGAUGAAACUUCAAUCGUCGCAGACAAUGUGACUUAGAUUGUAGUUGCAUUGAAGUUUUAAUGAGAUUUCAAUUGCAGACAAUGUGACUUCAAUUGUAGUUGCAUUGCGGUUUUGAUGACAUCAAAAACCAUUAUCAAUUUGCAAAUGCUAAAUUUUG